AUCAUCUCAAAGUAAACAACAAGAUUGAUUUCUUAAUGUGAACUCACUAGCACACAUUUUUUAAAAAGUUAGAAAGAGUUAAAAUACACACAUGAGGUUAUCCUCUAAAGUGCAAAGUGUCAGGAAUUUUUAGAUAAAAUUGCCUAAUGGGAAAAAUUUACAAGUCGGCUAUAUUUUGAGUCUAUUUUGUCAUAAAAUGUGAAUUCUAC